rnacentral:rRNA from 1 species
GACGAACGCUGGCGGCGUGCUUUAGGCAUGCAAGUCGAACGCGAAAGCCCCUUCGGGGGUGAGUAGAGUGGCGAACGGGUGAGUAACACGUGGGUAACCUGCCCCUCGCAGGGGGAUAACCGGGGGAAACCCCGGCUAAUACCCCGUACGCUUGCUGGGGCGCAUGCUCCGGCAAGGAAAGGUAGCUUCGGCCAUCCGGCGAGGGAGGGGCCCGCGGCCCAUUAGCUAGUUGGUGGGGUAACGGCCCACCAAGGCGACGAUGGGUAGCUGGCCUGAGAGGGUGGUCAGCCACACUGGGACUGAGACACGGCCCAGACUCCGACGGGAGGCAGCAGCCAGGAAUCUUGCGCAAUGGGCGAAAGCCUGACGCAGCAACGCCGCGUGGGCGAUGAAGGCCUGCGGGUCGUAAAGCCCUGUUGUCGGGGACGAAGGGCGAAGGGUUAAUAGCCCCUAGCCUGACGGUACCCGACGAGGAAGCCCCGGCUAACUACGUG